UACGAAGGGUGCAAACGUUGCUCGGAAUUAUUGGGCGUAAAGCGCACGUAGGCGGCAUUGCAAGUCGGAUGUGAAAUCUUAUGGCUUAACCAUAAAAGUGCAUCCGAAACUGCAGUGCUUGAGUACUUAAGGAGGAUCGCGGAAUUCCCGGUGUAGAGGUGAAAUUCGUAGAUAUCGGAAGGAACACCGGUGGCGAAGGCGGUUCUCUGGGCAUUACCUGGACGCUGAGGAGCGAAAGUG
rnacentral:rRNA from 1 species